rnacentral:rRNA from 1 species
CCUACGGGUGGCAGCAGUGAGGAAUAUUGGUCAAUGGACGAGAGUCUGAACCAGCCAAGUAGCGUGAAGGAUGACUGCCCUAUGGGUUGUAAACUUCUUUUAUAUGGGAAUAAAACGUUCCACGUGUGGGAUUUUGUAUGUACCAUAUGAAUAAGGAUCGGCUAACUCCGUGCCAGCAGCCGCGGUAAUACGGAGGAUCCGAGCGUUAUCCGGAUUUAUUGGGUUUAAAGGGAGCGUAGGUGGAUUGUUAAGUCAGUUGUGAAAGUUUGUGGCUCAACCGUAAAAUUGCAGUUGAAACUGGCAGUCUUGAGUACAGUAGAGGUGGGCGGAAGUCGUGGUGUAGCGGUGAAAUGCUUAGAUAUCACGAAGAACUCCGAUUGCGAAGGCAGUUCACUGGACUGCAACUGACACUGAGGCUCGAAAGUGUGGGUAUCAAACAGGAGUAGAUACCCCAGUAGUC